UACGUAGGGUGCAAGCGUUGUCCGGAAUUAUUGGGCGUAAAGAGCUCGUAGGCGGCUUGUUGCGUCGUCUGUGAAAACCCGUGGCUCAACUGCGGGCUUGCGGACGGUACGGGCAGGCUGGAGUUCGGUAGGGGAGACUGGAAUUCCUGGUGUAGCGGUGAAAUGCGCAGAUAUCAGGAGGAACACCGGUGGCGAAGGCAGGUCUCUGGGCCGAUACUGACGCUGAGGAGCGAAAGCGUGGGGAGCGAACAGG
rnacentral:rRNA from 1 species